rnacentral:rRNA from 1 species
UACGUAGGGGGCAAGCGUUGUCCGGAAUCAUUGGGCGUAAAGCGCGCGUAGGCGGCCAGAUAAGUCCGGUGUGAAAGUCACAGGCUCAACCUGUGAAUGCCGCUGGAAACUGUCUGGCUUGAGUCCGGAAGGGGCGAGUGGAAUUCCUGGUGUAGCGGUGAAGUGCGCAGAUAUCAGGAGGAACACCAAUGGCGAAGGCAGCUCGCUGGAACGGUACUGACGCUGAGGCGCGAAAGCGUGGGGAGCGAACAGG